ACUCUCCCUGCCGUCGCCGCCCGGGACCGGGUGACAUUGAGGUUUUCGUCUAUCGCCGCUGGGCCGAUAGGGCUUCUUUUUAAGAUUUGGCUUUCCAAGUAAGAUUUUUGUUUGCCUGCUUUUCUCCUGGAAUUUUUUUGUUUUUGGUCGAAGAAGCAGCUCCCACUUUGCAGUUGUGUCAGCCAAUCACGACAGCUUCCCAGACUUCCGUGCAAGUGCCUGCUUUGAGGCCAAGGUGGCCAUAAAUGGCAGCUCCUCAGGCUCCUCCACAAUCUCUGGUUUCUUAUGUUUCUCCAUGAGCUCAGCUUUUUCAUCAACUCCAAUGCUUCAAGCCGAAGUCAUUAGUGAAUGUUCUACAAUCCUUCAGCUGCAGCUCCAGACCUUCACUCCUCCAGCUUCUCCUACAUCCAUCUAACCCUCAAUUCCUACAUUAAAUCUCUUUAUUCCAGAA